GGUGAACGGGGAGGAGUAGCGGGGGGAAUGGGUAGGGGGCGAGCGUGAAUGGGAAGGACGGGGCGUAAAGGGUGCGCAGGCGGCAGAGCAAGUCGCGUGUGAAAGCCCCGGGAUUAACGUGGGAAUUGCGCUCGAAACGACGUGGCUGGAGUGUGGCAGAGGAAGGUGGAAUUCCACGUGUAGCGGUGAAAUGCGUAGAGAUGUGGAGGAACACCAAUGGCGAAGGCAGCCUUCUGGGCCAACACUGACGCUCAUGCACGAAAGCGUGGGGAGCAAACAGGAUUAGAUACCCCAGUAGUC
rnacentral:rRNA from 1 species